rnacentral:rRNA from 1 species
GUUGAUCCUGCGUGAGAUUGCUGCUAUUUGGGUUCGAUUUAGCCAUGCAAGUCAGGUAGUAAUACCGGCAGAAUGCUCAGUAACACGUCAUUAACCUACCCUCGGGUCUGGGAUAACCCCGAGAAAUUGAGGGUAAACCCGGAUAGAGAAAAAAUUCUGGAAUAAAUUUUUCUUGAAAAGUAAUGCCUUAGGAUGGGAUGGCGGCUGAUUAGGUCGUUGGUGAGGUAAAGGCUCACCAAGCCGAAGAUCAGUAGGGGCCUUGAGAGAGGGAGCCCCGAGAAGGGCACUGAGAUACUGGCCCUAGCCCUACGGGGUGCAGCAGGCGCGAAACCUUUACAAUGCAGGAAACUGUGAUAAGGGAACCCAAAGUGCUAUCACUUUGUGCUAGCUUUUUUCAAAGGUAAAUACUUUGAAGAAUAAGUGGUGGGCAAGACUGGUGCCGGCAGCCGCGGUAACACCAGCGCCACGAGUGGCAAUCAUGUUUACUUGGCCUAAAGCGUCCGUAGCCGGUUUGAUAACUCUUUUGUGAAAUUGUUGUACUCAAUAUAACACCGUGCAGAAGAAACUGUCAAACUUGGGACCGGGAGGAGUCAGAGGUAUUCAUUGGGGAGCGGUAAAAUGCUAUAAUCCUUUGAAGACCACCUGUGGCGAAGGCGUCUGACUAGAACGGAUCCGACGGUGAGGGACGAAAGCCAGGGGAGCGAACCGGAUUAGAUACCCGAGUAGUCCUGGCCGUAAACUCUGCGAGCUAGAUGUUGCAUUUUCUCCGUGAAAGUGCAGUAUCGUAGCGAAGGCGUUAAGCUCGCCGCCUGGGAAGUAUGGUCGCAAGACUGAAACUUAAAGGAAUUGGCGGGGGAGCACCACAAGGGGUGCGGCGUGCGGUUUAAUCUAACUCAACACAGAGAAUCUCACCAGCAGCGACGGCAGAAUGAAGGUCAAGUUGAAGGCUUUACCUAACAAGCCGAGAGGUGGUGCAUGGCCGCCGUCAGCUCGUGCCGUAAGGUGUCCAGCUAAGUCUGGUAACGAGCGAGAUCUGUGCCCGCAAUUGCUAACAAAUUCUUCGGAAUGAUUGAGCACAUUGCGGGGACUGCCUUCGAAAGAAGGAGGAAGGUGCAGGCCACGGUAGGUCUGUAUGCCCCGAAUCUGCUGGGCUACACGCGCGCAACAAUGGUUAAGACAAUGGGCCACGACUCCGAAAGGAGAAGUUAAUCCUCGAAACUUAAUCUCAGUUCAGAUUGAGGAUUGUAACUCAUCCUCAUGACGCUGGAACCCCUAGUAAUCAGAAGUUAUCAUCUUCUGGUGAAUAUGUCCCUGCUCCUUGCACACACCGCCCGUCAAGCCAUCCGAGCAGGGUUUAGGUGAGAGUUGGUUUUUUUGAUCAUCUCGAACCUAAGCUCAGUGAGGCGGGUUAAGUCGUCACAAGGUA